CACAUCGACCUAAAGUCGGUUCCUAUCACGUCUCCUAUAGCUAGACGGCAAGACUCUCUCUCUCUCUCUCUCGCCCUCUUCCUCUUGCUCGCUCGCUCAAAGCAAGUUUUUAGCAAUUCUUUGUUGCUAUUACGACUUCAGAAUCAAGCAAGGUCAUUCAAUCAAAAUCAUUCUCUUCGUCUCUAUCAGAUUUGUUUGAACAGAGAGCUAAGGACACUUUCUAUCUAGUGAAUGGGAGGCUACUAGAAUUGAAGCAUUGCACUGGAUUUCCAACCUUCUAAACAGACGUCGUACUGAGGUGUUGACUGAUCUGAAUGACAUAUUUGACACCCUUUUGGAGGCACUUAUCAGAUUGGCUGAAGGAAGCACUUUCACCAUGGACAAAUAAUCAGGAUCCAGGGUAUUUACAAAUAACUUAUUUCAUGAAUGAAGCCUACUCAUUAUGAAGAACAAGGUCAGGGGUGACCUAUUAUUGGGAUAUGGAGAAGGAAGUCAAGAUAAUUCCAUCAAUUCAUAUGCUACUCUGUACUCAUUAGAUAUUUAAAGAUUUUCAUUGUUAUUGCAUUUGACUAUUUGAAUAUGUAUGACUAGAAAAUUGUGUUAUGAAUCAAUGGUUGUUUGUUUUUAAUAAUAAUUCAAUUGCGUAAAUACUUACCAUAUGACAUGAAAGAUGUCACAAAUGAUAUUAGCGAUGAUUAUAAAUAGAUCCUAGUAUGUGUACGAUUUUACUUGCGACAUUUGACGAAUGUGUGAAAUGAAUUAAGAUAAAAUAUGACUUUUUACGACAUAAACACCAAACGUCGUAAAAAGAUGUCAAAUGAAAUAUGACUUUUUACGACGUUAACCAAACGUCGUAAAAAAUGUCAGAUAAAAUAUGACUUUUUACGACACCAACCAAACGUCAUAAAAAUAAUUUUUUGCGACGGAAAAAAAUGUCGCAAUACAAUGUCGUAAAAAAAUUAUGAAAUCCGACACCACUAUUUACGACGGACGCCGAAUGUCGCAAAUCCGUCGCAAUAACUUUUUUGC